rnacentral:tRNA from 1 species
UCCGGGGUGGUGUAGUCGGUAGCACACCUGGUUUUGGUCCAGGCAGCGGGGGUUCAAGUCCUCCCCCCGGAA